rnacentral:tRNA from 1 species
GGCUCCUUCGUCUAGUGGUUAGGACGCCGGGUUUUCAUCUCGGCAACAGGGGUUCAAGUCCCCUAGGAGUCACCA